AGGACUAACGCUGGCGGCGUGCCUAACACAUGCAAGUCGAACGAAGUAGCAAUACUUAGUGGCAGACGGGUGAGUAACACGUAGUCAACCUGCCCUUCAAUGGGGGAUAACUAGCCGAAAGGUUAGCUAAUACCGCAUACGAUCUCUGAGUGGCAUCACUCGGCGAUGAAAGGAGUAAUCCGUUGAAGGAGGGGACUGCGUCCCAUUAGUUAGUUGGUGGGGUAAUGGCCUACCAAGACUCCGAUGGGUAGCUGGCUUGAGAGAGCGACCAGCCACACUGGAACUGAGACACGGUCCAGACUCCUACGGGAGGCAGCAGUGAGGAAUUUUCCGCAAUGGGGGAAACCCUGACGGAGCGACGCCGCGUGUGGGAAGAAGGCCUUCGGUCGUAACCACUGUCGAGGGGACGAUAUUGACGGUACCCCUGGAGGAAGCCCGGCUAACUACGCGCCAGCAGCCGC
rnacentral:rRNA from 1 species